GAUGAACGCUGGCGGCGUGCCUAAUACAUGCAAGUCGAGCGAACAGACGAGGAGCUUGCUCCUCUGACGUUAGCGGCGGACGGGUGAGUAACACGUGGAUAACCUACCUAUAAGACUGGGAUAACUUCGGGAAACCGGAGCUAAUACCGGAUAACAUGUUGAACCGCAUGGUUCAACAGUGAAAGACGGUCUUGCUGUCACUUAUAGAUGGAUCCGCGCCGCAUUAGCUAGUUGGUAAGGUAACGGCUUACCAAGGUAACGAUGCGUAGCCGACCUGAGAGGGUGAUCGGCCACACUGGAACUGAGACACGGUCCAGACUCCUACGGGAGGCAGCAGUAGGGAAUCUUCCGCAAUGGGCGAAAGCCUGACGGAGCAACGCCGCGUGAGUGAAGAAGGUCUUCGGAUCGUAAAACUCUGUUAUUAGGGAAGAACAAAUGUGUAAGUAACUAUGCACGUCUUGACGGUACCUAAUCAGAAAGCCACGGCUAACUACGUG
rnacentral:rRNA from 1 species